rnacentral:rRNA from 1 species
GGCGAACGGGUGAGGAACACGUGAAGAAUCUGCCUUCAACUCUGGGAUAACUCCGGGAAACCGGGGCUAAUACCGGAUAUGAGCCUUGGCCGCAUGGCCGGGGCUGGAAAGUUUUUCGGUUGAAGAUGACUUCGCGGCCUAUCAGCUUGUUGGUGAGGUAACGGCUCACCAAGGCGACGACGGGUAGCCGGCCUGAGAGGGCGACCGGCCACACUGGGACUGAGACACGGCCCAGACUCCUACGGGAGGCAGCAGUGGGGAAUAUUGGGCAAUGGAGGAAACUCUGACCCAGCGACGCCGCGUGAGGGAUGAAGGCCUUCGGGUUGUAAACCUCUUUCAGUAGGGAAGAAGCGAAAGUGACGGUACCUACAGAAGAAGCACCGGCUAACUAUGUGCCAGCAGCCGCGGUAAUACAUAGGGUGCAAGCGUUGUCCGGAAUUAUUGGGCGUAAAGAGCUCGUAGGUGGUUCGAUACGUCGGAUGUGAAAAUCAGGGGCUCAACCCCUGACCUGCAUUCGAUACGGUCGAGCUAGAGUGUGGUAGGGGAGACUGGAAUUCCUGGUGUAGCGGUGGAAUGCGCAGAUAUCAGGAGGAACACCGAUGGCGAAGGCAGGUCUCUGGGCCAAUACUGACACUGAGGAGCGAAAGCGUGGGGAGCGAACAGGAUU